GUUGUAUGGUUAAGUGACUAAGCGUACACGGUGGAUGCCUUGGCAGUUGGAGGCGAUGAAGGACGUAUUAACUUGCGAUAAGCCUAGUCAAGCUAGUAAAAAGCACUUGAGACUAGGAUUUCCGAAUGGGGAAACCCACCUGCUUGCAGGUAUCGUUAACUGAAUACAUAGGUUAACGAGGCGAACGCGGAGAACUGAAACAUCUAAGUACCCGUAGGAAAAGAAAUCAACCGAGAUUCCGGAAGUAGCGGCGAGCGAAACCGGAACAGCCCUUAAGCUUAUUAUGUGUUAAUGGAAGGCCGCUGGAAAGCGCCACGAUACAGGGUGAUAGUCCCGUACAUGAAAAGACAUUUUAAGUGAAAUCGAGUAGGUCGGAGCACGUGAAACUUUGACUGAAUAUAGGUGGACCAUCAUCUAAGGCUAAAUACUCCCAACUGACCGAUAGUGAACCAGUACCGUGAGGGAAAGGCGAAAAGAACCCCUGUGAGGGGAGUGAAAUAGAACCUGAAACCGUGUACGUACAAGCAGUAGGAGCCCACUUGUUGGGUGACUGCGUACCUUUUGUAUAAUGGGUCAGCGACUUAUAUUUUGUAGCGAGGUUAACCGAAUAGGGUAGCCGUAGGGAAACCGAGUCUUAACUGGGCGACGAGUUGCAAGGUAUAGACCCGAAACCCGGUGAUCUAGCCAUGGGCAGGUUGAAGGUUGAGUAACAUCAACUGGAGGACCGAACCCACUAACGUUGAAAAGUUAGGGGAUGACCUGUGGCUAGGAGUGAAAGGCUAAUCAAACCGGGAGAUAGCUGGUUCUCCCCGAAAUCUAUUUAGGUAGAGCCUCGGACGAAUACUUACGGGGGUAGAGCACUGUUAAGGCUAGGGGGUCAUCCCGACUUACCAACCCUUUGCAAACUCCGAAUACCGUAAAGUAAUAUCCGGGAGACACACGGCGGGUGCUAACGUCCGUCGUGAAGAGGGAAACAACCCAGACCGCCAGCUAAGGUCCCAAAGUCAUAGUUAAGUGGGAAACGAUGUGGAAAGGCCCAGACAGCCAGGAGGUUGGCUUAGAAGCAGCCAUCCUUUAAAGAAAGCGUAAUAGCUCACUGGUCGAGUCGGUCUGCGCGGAAGAUGUAACGGGGCUAAACUAUGCACCGAAGCUGCGGAUUCAGAAUUUAUUCUGAGUGGUAGGGGAGCGUUCUGUAAGCGGUUGAAGGUGUACCGGGAGGUAUGCUGGACGUAUCAGAAGUGCGAAUGCUGACAUGAGUAACGAUAAUGGGAGUGAAAAACUCCCACGCCGGAAGACCAAGGGUUCCUAUCCCAUGUUAAUCAGGGUAGGGUAAGUCGACCCCUAAGGCGAGGCCGAAAGGCGUAGUCGAUGGGAAACAGAUUAAUAUUUCUGUACUCGAUAUAAUUGCGAUGGGGGGACGGAGCAGGCUAAGCAAGCAUGGCGUUGGUAGUCCAUGUGAAAGUGAGUAGGGCGUUUGUUUAGGUAAAUCCGGACGAACA
rnacentral:rRNA from 1 species